ensembl:ncRNA asRNA:CR46082 antisense RNA:CR46082
CGUAGAAACGUAUUAUGACCAUACACUCAAAAUAAAUGCGCAUAGCUCCUAAUCUCUAUAUUUCACUACCGAACUAAUUGAUUUAGAUCCGAUAUAGAAUUUGACAACGUUUCCGAAAGAGAGCCUAAGAGAGCUGGAAAGUACUUAACGUAAAAGCUUUGACUUGCGAGUAUUUCCUCAGGGGUCACCCCUUACCCCUUUCGCAUCCUUGUGAUCCUCUUCCAGUGGACUUUCCUGCUGAUCCCGCUUCUUUUCCGACCGCGAAGGUCAACUCUCCGCGCUGGUCGCCAGAAGGGACGGCGAGGAGGUGGUCAGACCCACUGGAACCGAUUCCUCCUGAGCCUGGCCCAUGGGCGGUGGUGAUGGAGUGGGCGUGGAGGCCGUGGACGACGCCGUCGAUGAGGUGGGACGGGCGGCGUGAGGCUGGAGGAAGUGAAACAAGUUGGAAUGCUGCAUGAAACUGCCCACCGAUCUCAGCGGACUAAAAAAGUUCUCUGUGGGAUGGUUGGCUGGCUGCGGAUGCUGUGGAAGUACAGAGGACUCCUGAUCCCUGCAGAGAUUACUGCUGGGCUCGUCGUGGACCCCUCGUCCCUUAGCGAUGGAGCUACAGUUGCAGGAUCGGCUCUUCUUCAGCGAACUCCGAGUGAAUGCCGUGCCCUUUCGAUACUUAGGCUUGUGCCCAUUUGAGCCGGGACUCGCCUCACUAUCGAUCACAAAGAUACCGGAUUGCUCCUGGGGAGCAGGACUCGCCGUGGAUCCUGGCAGGCAGUGAGCGCUAUUGGAGUUGCCAGCAAGCAGUUUGGCCCUCAGAAGAGCCGGAAGUGGGCCAUUUGUGGGAGAUGUUUGAGUGGAGAGCGGUCUCUCCCUGGACUGUUCAUCUAUGGGAAGAUCCUGAUUGUUGCCCAUUGGCCUGGAGUCCGUGUCAUCCGAUCGCAAUUUCUCCCUCAUGACCAAAGCCAGGGAGCGACGCAGUUCCACGGGAUCUAUGCCAGGCUGAACGGGAUUUGGAACAGAGCUGGCCGGCACGAAUACGUCCUCAAACUCCAGAUCAUCAUCAUCUUCGUCCUCAUCCUGGCUGAAACUGUAGUUGUGGUUGUCAUAGGAGGCGGACGGAACUGAGGGCUUCGCAGGAGCAGGAGGAGCUGGUGGGACUGUGGAACUGCUAUUUCGUUCACUGCUGCGCUGGGAACCCGGAGCGGGGGAAGGGAACUCGUAGCUGGUUUCACCCAGCUCGGCGCCACUGGAGGCCUCCACUAUGUUCCACAUUUCUCGCUCGAGAUCUGUGGUCACCGAAGCCACGGCGGCCACCGUUUGGUUGAUGUUGUUGAAACAGGGCGACACCACUCCGCACUUGGGCAGGAGCUGGGAGUUCUUCAGGGCCUCCUGCUGCUGCCUCAACCAAAUGGGUGAAUCUGCAGGGAAUGUUACGAGAGUUAUAGGGAUUUUGCCACAGUUCCAAGGAGACAACGCGCACUCACACUCACCCACAUAGAGGCGCGGCUGCGUGGAGCGCAUAUUGGAGUCCAUGGACUGCAGGCGAUGCUGACUGGCCACCGAGAAGCGGUGGAUUGCCUCCGCCUGCUGAUCAAUGUCCACGCCCAUCAUCUUCAGGAGUAAGUUCUUCAGCGCGGCCCUGAAGUCCUUGAGGUGAUAGGCAUACAGGACCGGAUUUACCGCCGAGUUCAGAUGGGACAGAAUGAUGCAGAAGAGCGUCAGCUUGGGAUGCACAUAGCAGUCGGGACAGAAGGCCUUGAUGCAGUUGAUCGUAUAGAGCGGUAUCCAGCAGAUCAUAAAGAACAGCACGAUAAUGGACAGAUUCUGGGUGGCCUUGACGUCCCGCUUCCUUGCGGCGCCCAAGACCCGCAGCAUGGUUCCCGUGUGUCCACCUCUUCCGGGUGUCGUCACCUGCACCACGGCCGCCGAGGAGCGACGACUGAGAUCGGAGGCGGGGUUCAUCGUAACAAUCUGACGGACCUUUAAAGUUCAAUUGAAAACGGAUAGUUAAUAUUCCAAACUCUAUGGAAUAUAUAAAAAACUUUACUGGCGAAAAUCUAUCUACCACUCACCUGUUUGAUGAUGACCCGGUAGAUGUGCGUGUAGAAGGCCAGCAUCAGCAGAGCCGGAGUGAUAAUGGUGGCAAAAUAGAGGAAGACGAGGUAGUUGUAGUCCAUCACCUCCACGAAGAGACACUCCUGGUUGUGAUUGACAUCGGCGUGCCAGCCGAAAAGCGGCAGGAAGCCCACUAUCGUCCCGGCCACCCAGCACAUGGAGAUGAUGACUGCAACGGAAGAGGAACAUUGGUAAUCAGAGUGCCCUGAACUGAAGCCCUUGAAGUGGAGCUCCCCCAGACGUCAUUUGAGCAGAUUGCAGGAAUCCCUGCCGUCUUCGCCACCAAGCACCAUAAAAACUUUUAUCGAAUUGCGGGAAACUAAACAAAACUGGCAGGCAGGGUGAGUGCACUUCCCAAAUGACGCAAAUAAUUACCAAUUUUCCGGACGUAGCAUAUUGGAAAGUAAUCUUGCCUUGAGCGGCCAUUUAUAAAGCACUAUAUAGUAGGUGAUAUAUAGUGCUUAG